GUGGGGAAUAUUGCACAAUGGGGGAAACCCUGAUGCAGCCAUGCCGCGUGUGUGAAGAAGGCCUUAGGGUUGUAAAGCACUUUCAGUGGGGAGGAAGGAUGUGGUGUUAAUAGCACUAUGUAUUGACGUUACCCACAGAAGAAGCACCGGCUAACUCCGUGCCAGCAGCCGCGGUAAUACGGAGGGUGCAAGCGUUAAUCGGAAUUACUGGGCGUAAAGCGCACGCAGGCGGUUUGUCAAGUCGGAUGUGAAAUCCCCGGGCUUAACCUGGGAACUGCAUCCGAAACUGGCAGGCUAGAGUCUUGUAGAGGGGGGUAGAAUUCCAUGUGUAGCGGUGAAAUGCGUAGAGAUGUGGAGGAAUACCGGUGGCGAAGGCGGCCCCCUGGACAAAGACUGACGCUCAGGUGCGAAAGCGUGGGGAGCAAACAGGAUUAGAAACCCCAGUAGUCC
rnacentral:rRNA from 1 species